AUGAACGCUGGCGGCGUGCUUAACACCUGCCAGUCGAACGGUGAAGGCGGAGCUUGCUCUGCUGGAUCAGUGGCGAACGGGUGAGUAACACGUGAGCAAUCUGCCCCUGACUCUGGGAUAAGCGCUGGAAACGGCGUCUAAUACUGGAUACGAGCUGCGAAGGCAUCUUCAGCAGCUGGAAAGAACUUCGGUCAGGGAUGAGCUCGCGGCCUAUCAGCUUGUUGGUGAGGUAACGGCUCACCAAGGCGUCGACGGGUAGCCGGCCUGAGAGGGUGACCGGCCACACUGGGACUGAGACACGGCCCAGACUCCUACGGGAGGCAGCAGUGGGGAAUAUUGCACAAUGGGCGAAAGCCUGAUGCAGCAACGCCGCGUGAGGGACGACGGCCUUCGGGUUGUAAACCUCUUUUAGCAGGGAAGAAGCGAAAGUGACGGUACCUGCAGAAAAAGCGCCGGCUAACUACGUG
rnacentral:rRNA from 1 species